GAGAUUCGCCAGGACGAACCUCCUCCCUCGUCCUCGCGAUCCGGCGGCCAGCGAACCUCCUCCCUCGCUUCGCCGCCCUCCAUGAGAACGCCCGCCGAUCUCCUCCCCGGCGGGCGUUUUUC
rnacentral:sRNA from 1 species